UACGUAGGGGGCAAGCGUUAUCCGGAUUUACUGGGUGUAAAGGGAGCGUAGACGGCUUUGCAAGCCAGAUGUGAAAGCCCGGGGCUCAACCCCGGGACUGCAUUUGGAACUGUGUGGCUAGAGUGUCGGAGAGGCAGGCGGAAUUCCUAGUGUAGCGGUGAAAUGCGUAGAUAUUAGGAGGAACACCAGUGGCGAAGGCGGCCUGCUGGACGAUGACUGACGUUGAGGCUCGAAAGCGUGGGGAACAAACAGG
rnacentral:rRNA from 1 species